rnacentral:rRNA from 1 species
UACGGAGGGAGCUAGCGUUGUUCGGAAUUACUGGGCGUAAAGCGCACGUAGGCGGCUUUGUAAGUUAGAGGUGAAAGCCCGGAGCUCAACUCCGGAACUGCCUUUAAGACUGCAUCGCUUGAAUCCAGGAGAGGUGAGUGGAAUUCCGAGUGUAGAGGUGAAAUUCGUAGAUAUUCGCAAGAACACCAGUGGCGAAGGCGGCUCACUGGCCCGAUACUGACGCUGAUGCACGAAAGCGUGGGGAGCAAACAGG